AAACUAGCCCUGCAAGAAAUAUUAAAGGUGAUUCUUUGAGCAGAGAGAGAGCCCAAAAGUAAGAAAAACCAGAAAAGGAAGAGACAAUCUGCAGGAACAGCAACUUAACAGAGACAAAAGAGAAGAGGGGAGUACACAGUCAAGCAUAGGAGCAUAAUCUUUCCUCUGUGCUGGAAAAGAUAGAUUUCCAUGAUGUCACUUUUCACUUAAUAAUAAGGAUGAAAUAAACAUAUUUCCAUAAAAAUGUGAAGAGAGUUUGUUUCUACUAGACUCUUGCUGAAGGAACUUUCAAGAUUGUACUUCAGGAAAAAGAGAAAUCUGAAAGAACUGAGAGCAAGAAGGAAUGGUAAACAAAAAACCUGAACUCUCAAAGGCAGCAGAGAAAUAAUAUAAUAGCUGGAAAGAGAUAGAAUGAUCAACCUGCUUGAUACUCCUGUUUUUGUGAAAAUGGUAAAGCACAGUCUGUAAAGUAUUUUGAUAGUUACCCGAUCCAUAUGGCAUCUGGAAACAUAGGCAGAAAAGUAUCGUGGAAAUGAAGUGACUUGUCCAAAGUCUCUUUUAUGAACUGAACCUUGAACUCACUCUCCACGUUCCCAAACCAGUGUUCUUUCCAGUCCUUCAUAGCGGUCACCUUUAUAGGUGAUGAUUUCCAGAUGGUGCUACUGCUAAUGGCGACAUAUAAAUGCAGAUAACUGAAAAAUUUGUAACCAAAAAUUUUUAAAGAAAUGAGGUCUUUUGAUGUACAAGAUACUGUGCUCCAUUCUAGGAAUACAUCCCUGAAUAUGAUACUAUCUCUUACAUCUAGGAGUUCACAUUCUACUGGGAGAGACAUAAAAGUAAAUAGCCAAUUACAAUUCAGAAAGAUAGCAGCAAUGUUAGGGUAUCAUUACCCAUGAGAGCAAGUAGGUAUAUAUAAAUAGUUUUAGGCCCAGUGUUACAAAAUCAUGAGAAACAGCCUUCAUGUGAGGGGAAUUAUGAUCCUCAGGGAAAGGCAGGUUUUGAUUAAAGAGAUUAAGAAAACAGAAGUUUUUCUGAUAAUAAAUUAUGAAUUCCAGUGGGCCCAGUGAAAGAGUUUCAAGAUUUGAGGAAAAACAGAAGAAAGGGAGAGAUGGUGCAGCCUUUUUUGUAUAGAGAAGGAGCGAUGAGGGUGACUUGAGAGUCUGUGGGUUUUUGUGUAGCAAGAUAAAGAGGAUCAAGGGGUACAAAGAGAUUAGUUCCAGUGGUGAGCAUACUGUGAUCGUUACGCUUCUGCGGAAGGACUCCCUGCAUCUCUGAGGAGAAGGCAGUUUCUUUAAAGCGCAUUAAAUAUCAGAAAAACAAGAAUAUUUCAUGAAAAUUUAAAAAUUAAAAUAUUCUUUCCUUUAGGAUUCUCUCAUCAGUAUGACCCCUCUUCCUAUGGUGUAUUAUCUAAUUUUUCUGCAUUUGGAGGCACCUUGUUGCUCUGGGUU